rnacentral:tRNA from 1 species
AAAGGAUUAGUUAAAAAAUAACUUUAGUUUGUCAAAUUAAAAUUAUUACUUUAAGUAAUAUCUUUUU